rnacentral:rRNA from 1 species
CCUACGGGUGGCAGCAGUGGGGAAUAUUGGGCAAUGGGCGCAAGCCUGACCCAGCAACGCCGCGUGAAGGAAGAAGGCUUUCGGGUUGUAAACUUCUUUUCUCAGGGACGAAACAAGUGACGGUACCUGAGGAAUAAGCCACGGCUAACUACGUGCCAGCAGCCGCGGGAAUACGUAGGUGGCAAGCGUUAUCCGGAUUUACUGGGUGUAAAGGGCGUGUAGGCGGGAAAGCAAGUCAGAUGUGAAAACCAUGGGGUCAACCUGUGGCCUGCAUUUGAAACUGUUUUUCUUGAGUACUGGAGAGGCAGACGGAAUUCCUAGUGUAGCGGUGAAAUGCGUAGAUAUUAGGAGGAACACCAGUGGCGAAGGCGGUGUGCUGGACAGCAACUGACGCUGAGGCGCGAAAGCGUGGGGAGCAAACAGGAUUAGAUACCCGAGUAGUC